rnacentral:rRNA from 1 species
GACGAACGCUGGCGGCGUGCUUAACACAUGCAAGUCGUACGGUAAGGCCCUUUCGGGGGUACACGAGUGGCGAACGGGUGAGUAACACGUGAGUAACCUGCCCACAACUUUGGGAUAACGCUAGGAAACUGGUGCUAAUACUGGAUAUGUGCUCCUGCUGCAUGGUGGGGGUUGGAAAGCUCCGGCGGUUGUGGAUGGACUCGCGGCCUAUCAGCUUGUUGGUGGGGUAGUGGCCUACCAAGGCGGCGGCGGGUAGCCGGCCUGAGAGGGUGACCGGCCACAUUGGGACUGAGAUACGGACCAGACUCCUACGGGAGGGAGCAGUGGGAAAGAUGGCACAAGGGGAGCAGGCCUAAUGCAGAAGCGCCGCGGGCGGGAGGACGGCCUUCGGGUUGUAAACCGCAUUCAGCAGGAACGAAGCUUUUUGUGACGGUACCUGCAGAAGAAGCACCGGCUAACUACGUG